rnacentral:rRNA from 1 species
CAGUAGCCGCGGGAAUACGAAGGGGGCUAGCGUUGCUCGGAAUGACUGGGCGUAAAGGGCGCGUAGGCGGUUUUGACAGUCAGAUGUGAAAUUCCUGGGCUUAACCUGGGAACUGCAUUGGUGACUGCAACGCUGGAGUGCGGCAGAGGGGGAUGGAAUUCCGCGUGUAGCAGUGAAAUGCGUAGAUAUGCGGAGGAACACCGAUGGCGAAGGCAAUCCCCUGGGCCUGCAUUGACGCUCAUGCACGAAAGCGUGGGGAGCAAACAGGAUUAGAUACCCCGGUAGUCCCUGUCUCUUAUAC